rnacentral:rRNA from 1 species
UACGGAGGGUGCAAGCGUUUAAUCGGAAUUACUGGGCGUAAAGCGUGCGUGGAUGGUGGUUAGUUACGUUCGUUGAAUGAACCCCCGGGCUCAACCUGGGAAUGGCAAUGGAAACUGGCGAGCUAGAGUACGGUAGAGGAGAGUGGAAUUCCCGGUGUAGCAGUGAAAUGCGUAGAGAUCGGGAGGAACAUCAGUUGCGAAGGCGGCUCUCUGGACCAGUACUGACGCUGAGGCACGAAAGCGUGGGGGAGCAAACAGG